AAGACUCUACUUUCAGGGAUCAUUUCUUUAGUCUGGAACUAGAGGAUUGUGUUUCUACAGAGGUUGGUCUUGCUGUCCAUGAUGAUGAAUGAAGAUGUUUCCUUCAGAGCAGGAAGCUGGGGAGAAGAUGAGAAUCUUCUUCACUGAUGAAGACUGUUCAGUGUUUCUGGAUGUGACACUGAAGGAGGAAACAUUGUCUGAGUGGA
rnacentral:snoRNA from 1 species